GCUCCUUUGGUUUAGAUGGUUAUAACUCCGGAUUUUGAGAUGGCGGCGUUAUGACACUAUGUUUUUCCGUCCCAAGAAUUCCGGCAACCCUGGUUCGAGUCCAGGAAGGAGCU